AUUGAACGCUGGCGGCAUGCUUUACACAUGCAAGUCGAACGGUAACAGGUCUUCGGAUGCUGACGAGUGGCGAACGGGUGAGUAAUGCAUCGGAACGUGCCCAGUCGUGGGGGAUAACGCAGCGAAAGCUGCGCUAAUACCGCAUACGAUCUAUGGAUGAAAGCGGGGGACCGUAAGGCAUCGCGCGAUUGGAGCGGCCGAUGGCAGAUUAGGUAGUUGGUGGGGUAAAGGCCCACCAAGCCAACGAUCUGUGGCUGGUCUGAGAGGACGACCAGCCACACUGGGACGGAGACACGGCCCAGACUCCUACGGGAGGCAGCAGUGGGGAAUUUUGGACAAUGGGCGCAAGCCUGAUCCAGCAAUGCCGCGUGCAGGAAGAAGGCCUUCGGGUUGUAAGCUGCUUUUGUACGGAACGAAACGGCUCUCUCUAAUACAGAGGGCUAAUGACGGUACCGUAAGAAUAAGCACCGGCUAACUACGUGCCAGCCGCCGCCGUAA
rnacentral:rRNA from 1 species